CGNNNCGCAGCUACACAUGCAGUCGAACGGUAACAGGAAGUGCUUGCACUUCGCUGACGAGUGGCGGACGGGUGAGUAAUGCUUGGGAACUUGCCUUUGCGAGGGGGAUAACAGUUGGAAACGACUGCUAAUACCGCAUAAUGUCUACGGACCAAACGGGGCUUAGGCUCCGGCGCAAAGAGAGGCCCAAGUGAGAUUAGCUAGUUGGUAAGGUAAAGGCUUACCAAGGCAACGAUCUCUAGCUGUUCUGAGAGGAAGAUCAGCCACACUGGAACUGAAACACGGUCCAGACUCCUACGGGAGGCAGCAGUGGGGAAUAUUGCACAAUGGGGGAAACCCUGAUGCAGCCAUGCCGCGUGUGUGAAGAAGGCCUUCGGGUUGUAAAGCACUUUCAGUUGUGAGGAAAAGUUAGUAGUUAAUACCUGCUAGCCGUGACGUUAACAACAGAAGAAGCACCGGCUAACUCCGUGCCAGCAGCCGCGGUAAUACGGAGGGUGCGAGCGUUAAUCGGAAUUACUGGGCGUAAAGCGCACGCAGGCGGUUUGUUAAGCUAGAUGUGAAAGCCCCGGGCUCAACCUGGGAUGGUCAUUUAGAACUGGCAGACUAGAGUCUUGGAGAGGGGAGUGGAAUUCCAGGUGUAGCGGUGAAAUGCGUAGAUAUCUGGAGGAACAUCAGUGGCGAAAGCGACUCCCUGGCCAAAGACUGACGCUCAUGUGCGAAAGUGUGGGUAGCGAACAGGAUUAGAUACCCUGGUAGUCCACACCGUAAACGCUGUCUACUAGCUGUUUGUGACUUUAAGUCGUGAGUAGCGAAGCUAACGCGCUAAGUAGACCGCCUGGGGAGUACGGCGCAAGGUUAAAACUCAAAUGAAUUGACGGGNCGCACAAGCGGUNGAGCAUGUGGUUUAAUUCGAUGCANGCGAAGAACUACUACACUUGACAUGCUGA
rnacentral:rRNA from 1 species